rnacentral:lncRNA from 1 species
GCAAUUCUUCUGCCUUAGCCUCCCUAGUAGCUGGGAUUAUAGGCAACUGCCACCAAGCCUGGCUAAUUUUUGUAUUUUUAGUAGAGAUGGGGUUUCACCAUGUUGGCCAGGCUGGUCUCAAACUCCUGACCUCAGGUGAUCUGCCUGCCUCGGCUUCCCAAUGUGCUGGGAUUACAGGCUUGAGCCACCUUACCUGGCCCAGAAAAUAUUCUUUAUGCAAGCCUUUUAGAUAAACUUAAGCAAGCUGAGAUCCUUGGAAUGGUAAACUGAGAUGCAAAUAGGAGAGCUGAGAGGACUGCCUGGGGCUUUGAAAGCAGUGAUCCUGGAGAGACCCUGUGGCUGGAGGGGCAGUGUUUCCAAGAACAGUCUAGCAUGAGGGAGCAGCUGUGUGGCACUCACCGCAGUAGGCUUGGGGAGCCAGCGUUUGGGCAACUCCCAGGCUCUAACUUCCUGCUUCCAUCAACAUGCUUCUCAUUGUAAUUCACUUUUUCACUUUUCCAGAGCCUGCUGGACAAGAAGUUUCCCACUAUAGACCAUGAGCAUUCUUUUCUGUUGCCAUCCACCCUCAGGGUUUGAAAAUUAUGAACCCCGUUGCUGGGGCAGAGCAACUUUGGAGUGAUUUGAAUGGUGAUCAGCAGGUACAAAUAUCUGAACACCAUAUUCUUCCUGGACACUUUAUAAUUCUUAUUAGUUUGGCAUAAUCUUUCCUGACUUUUCAGAAGGACCAUGUUAUUCAGUGGAGCCUUGCAUUCAGAUAACCUUCCAAGGAGACUCUGGUACUUAGAGAUACCAUGUUUGUAACUCUUAAGCGGCCUGUUAAAGCCUUUAAUGAGUUGCUGGCACCAAAAGGAUUCAGUUGGAUUAAGGAACAUGGAGAGAUUUUACAUUUUUUAUGUAUUUAAAGUAGAGGAUUUUUUGUUUGUGUAUUUGUUUGUUUGUCUUUUGUAAACUUUCCUAGUCAACACACAUCUUGGCUUGUUUGUUCAUCUCUUUAAAUGAUACAGCAAAUUUUGGUCUCUGUCCGUGCCACUCCUCUCUGACUGCACAUGAGAUGGGUGUUGUGGUCUCUUGGGUGGAUUGGAGGCUUGGAAUGGGCCUUGGUGACCAUUUCCUGAGUUUUCCCUAUUAAAUUUGUUCUUUGGUGCCUAAUUUCUCCUACUAUUAGGACUAUGAUUUUUAUUUUUUUAAAAAUCUGGACUUUUGUCCAGAACUUUGAAACAUGGCAUUGUUCCAUGGAACUAUGAAUGUGAGUGAUUUAGACAUCAUCAAAAUGCAACUUUAUUUUUGUUUCCUGACAUUUGUUUAAACUUGUUUAGUGGGAAUAAUUUUCCCUAUGCUCAACAAGAAACUUGGCAGGUCUCCAGGCUUUUCAGCUCAUUUGUAGACACUAGAGAGACCUAUGGCCAUUAUCAUAGCCCACAAACACAGGCUAGAGCUAAUAAAUAGUAUAUCUAGUCUCAUGUGAUGAUCAAAACUCUGAAUUGGAAUUAACAUUACAUUUUCUUUCCUGCCCUGACUUGGACUGCUUCGGGCUGGAAGUCUGGGGUGGGAGAUGGGGGAUGGUUCUUUGGCGCUCUCCUGUUUCCUGAUUCUUGGCUCACCUUCUCCUCGACUUGGUCACCAGCUGCUGUAGUGAAUCUCACAAGGGUGGAGGCAUGGGAAGGAGGAGAAGUGAGCAGAUGAGAUAGUAUCUGCUUUGCUAAGGGCAUCAUGGUCUCUGGUAGUGGCCAAGGGAUAGAGUUGAUUUCAUUCUCUUGAAAGCACUUUCAUGGGAUCUUAAGAGGUUUCCUGCUGGAUCUUGUGACCUAAGGUUUUUGUGACCAGUGAGUGAUUCCCUAAUCCACCUAAUUCAGGUAGACACUUGUGACAUCUUCCUUUGCCAUGGGCAUCUGAUGGUAUAACUCCAGCUUCUUUCUGCUGAUGUCCUGCCUUCCUCCAGGCAGCUCAAUUAGUUAGGACCCAAGAAGGCCCCAGGCAGCUUCUCCCAAUCUGAUCCACAUCCAGUUCAUGAGAAACAUUCAUGCAUUUCUUCCUCUAUUCUAGAAGUGAAAGCCAAUCCUGGUGAAGCAGCCCUCACCAGUGGGGCAGUUGGUCAAUUCCCCCUUCACCCUGUAGAUUUUCAGGAAGGGGUCAGAUCAGGUUCCAGUCUCCUUGACCUUCACAGAUGUGUCAGGGGGCGUUCCUCUGUGUCUUUGAAGUAUAGAAAUACAUUUCCAAUUUCUGCAAGUGGUCCCAUUGGAUAAUCCCUCCUUAGGCCUGGGGAAAUCUAUAUGCUGUAUUUCUACUCUCCCUAAAUACCUGACUGAGCUGAGGAGGUCCAAAAAUUGAGAAACUAUGUUCAUUUGUUUUCCUUUGUAAAUUCUGCAUAAAGAAGUGAUGUUGAAAUGAAGCAGGAUGUGUCUCAUUCUGUCUUGCUGCACAUGUUUCUCUUUUACAAGGGCCUUACAGUCUACAGGAGGGGCUUAAAAAAACAGGAAAAGAUUUAAAAUCUAUAAAGAAGAUGUUACAAGUCAAGUAGCCCCAAGUCCCAGUUAUACAGACAAUGAGUUCUGUGGUUCAGGUUAGGGUUUGGGCGGGUGGUAGGAAGGGGGAAAUGAGAUGGAGUCAGAAGUGUGUGUUCAAAGCUUUCAGUUUUAGUCUUGUUGCAGUCUACUGCUUUCCUACUUGAAAUUCAAGAUUCAAACACUCUGAGAUGAUGAGCCAAGCUUCAAGGAUUCUUCUGGCUGGAAAUGACUGGCUGAGAAAAUGCAUCCAGGGUCCAGGCAACUCCUAGAGUGAGGAGCUGAAGAUGAUGAAAUACAGCACUUAUAUUAAGCACCACGUGCAUGUGAACCUUGUCUUAUCGGCCUACGUGCAUUUUUGGCCAAUUCCAGAAGCCUCCUUAGAUACUCAGUACAUGGGAGAAGAGGUAAACUGAGAUCAACAAUAUUCAUUUUGCAGAAGCACUUGGAUGUCCCAUUGAUCAUUGUUCAUUCAAUAUAUACAUAUAUUCUCUCUCCCCCCUCCCCUCCCUCACACACACGUCAUGCACCACUUUGCUCAAGACUCUAUUCCAGGCAUUGUGAGAGACAGUUAAAGUCUCCCAGGUAGCUCAAGAGAUGAGAGACACACAGCAAAUAGCUAUACUCACUGCUGAGGACAGUAUAUCUGAAUGUGAGAACAGAGAGUACCUGGUUCAACUCAGCAAAAGAAGAGAUGCCUUCUUCCUGUCAUUAUCCAGGAAAAUUUUUCAAGAGGAUUGCAACCAACUGUGUCUCACCUGGACUUCACCACUUCUCCAAGUGCUGGUUUCUCUUCUAGGCUCAGUCAUGGCCUCUGGGCUCUCACAAUGCACAGGUACUGAUUGUAUUGAGUGCUGGCAAGUCUGACAGGGCCUCUGAGUCACCAUCCCCUACAUUGGAGGAGUCCAGCACUCUGAGAAUUUUUAUGCUAUGCUUGGUAAGUAUCUAGCACACUUCCUGGAACAAAGUAAGUCUUCCCUAGGGAUUUGUGGGUUGAUUGAAUGGGAACUUGAGAAGGAACUUCUGGGGUCAUGCUGAUGCAAGGUACCUCUGGCUUUGACUCUGACAAAGAUGGGGUCCAGGAGGCUUUGUUGGGGAAGAAAAGGCCAAGACUGUGAGGGUGCUCCUAACAAGACAGAGAUGCCCCUUGAGGACCUUUGUUUUCUGGGCUUUUCUCCCCACCUUCCUAUCCAUUUUGCACAUAUUGGCUUGAUGUCUCCCUUGGGGAAUUUGUUUUACAGCCUCUCUCCCUCUGGAGGCAAAUUGCUAUCUCUGUUUUAAAACUCUCACCAAGCCUCCACGAGGGGCAUUUUGCAUUCAGGUGGCUUUGGGGAUAGUGACUGAGCAGUACCUUGCCAGAAGGUUCUUCUUUAUAUGCAUACUAAGUUUCUUUUGUUGGAACUGAGGGUCAAUUUCUCCAUUCCUGGUUUUGUGGAACAACUUCCUGUGACCUCUUUUCUGGCAUGGCUCACCUUCCCUGGGGUGCAUUCAGGGAUGAACCCAGAAGUUCUUCCCCAGCAUUCUGCCUUCUGCUUCCCCUCACUGUGACCUUCCUUACAAUGGUGCUGGUGGUCUCCCUCCCCUUAGAAUCAGCCAGUGAAAUUCCAGGGUGCAUGGAGGAUACUUUGCAUGGGGCAUCUGAUUCACCAUUGUCUGAAUAAGGAAAUCACUUCUUAUGUCAAGGUUGGGAGCCCCUGUGAGCAGCUGGAGGGGCUCUCCCUUGGAGUGGAGGAUCCCCAAGUCCCUGAACUCACACUGACAGUAGGGUGACUUCCCAGGGAGCUCAGAACCUCCACACUAGACUUAGCUGCCUCUCCUGCCACCAGUCUGAGAGGCUUCUGAUGUUACAGACUGAAUCUACUGUUUAAUUUCUAACCUCCCAUGGCUCCCAAUUUAGGGCUCACCUAUGGGGUCCAACCACUCAAUUAGGGCAGGCAUUAAUGACAGUGGCUGCUUCUACAGUGUAUUGCAGGAGGCGGCAGCACAUCCCCAGUCCAGGAGCUGUUCAUUCCUCCACAAUGGCCGCCUUCAGGAUUUCUUUAUCAGGUAGCACCUUGGUAGUCAUUAAUACCAUGGUAAACAUCAGACAACAUUGACCUGAGGAUAGUGGGCUAGGCCUUGAAAAAAUGGGGCAGGUAGGGGAGCAGGGCACCAAGAUGGAGGAAAGGGCAGCUAAUGGUUGAACUGAAGGCAACAAAGAACAUUUUCCCCAGUUUUGAUAUUUUGCCAAAGGUGACCCCUGCAGCCCAUCACAUCCCCUCUGCAGGGCUUCAACCACCUAUUCUAAUUUUCUAAUAAUAUGAAUAGCUACUCUUUAUGGAGCACCAACUCUUGAGAUGGAGUAUCUUUUUAUUCCUACUUCACAAAUGAACGAAUGGAGGCUCAGGCAGGUUAAUGAUCUUCUCAAGGUGGCACAGCCAAUGGGUGGUGGAGCUGGUAUCCAAUCCAAGCAUGAUCUCAAAACUGUUGUUCUCCACCACAGUCAUUUUUUCCUACUGAACUCUCUCUCUUGUGCACUCUGUCUCUUGCACUUUCUGUCUCCUUUUCUGUUCUGAACCUGGUACCGACAUGAAUUUUAAGCUAGGUCAAGAUUACUGAUUUGUCUGGACCAUUCAUUUGCUUCCAUUAAGAGUCAGGCAGGGAGAGUGGCAGGAAUAACCUGGUAUACAUUUUACGAAAACCCCACAAGCUUUGAACACUCUGAUUCUGUUCAAUCUUUUCUCUCCCUCCUGUUCUUGGCAACUGUCCCUUAAGCCCGUCUGUUCUCUGCCUCUAAUAUAUUAUGCAGAUAUUUUAUUACCAAACAAUUAGAUCCACUAACUUGAAAAGGAAACGAGCAGGAAAUUGCAAUUAUAAGAGUAAAAGCAAUGCUCUUUUAUUUCUCCCCUUUAUGCAUAUGAAAUAUGGUUUGUCAUUGCUGCAAAACAGACUUUUCUCCUCUUCCAUGGCUCUUCACUGCCUUGUCUUUAAUAAUUGAGCAGAAAGCAGAGUAAUAAUUAGAUUCCUGGUAACAGGGGAGAUAUCCAUAGAUUUGCAGCAUGUGGAGGCUCAGCUUGGAGCCAUGGGGCCCACGACCAUGCCUCCAUGGGAGAAAGCAUACUUCAGGCUGUUUCACUUGAGUACCUUCCAAAGCCUUCUGUACAUCCAUGGUCUUCUAUGUAGAUUAAAUAUUUGCUCACAAUUAUUGUUUCCUUUCUGCCUUUGCCAUGCUUUCCCAUCCCAUUGACUCUGGGCUUGGCCAAGACUUCUUUUGGUCAAUGGAAUAUGAGUAGAUGUGAUGUACAGCUCAUUGUACUACACAGAAGCUUUCAAUGUGCCUGUAAUAUUUGGCCCUACUUCUCUUGAGCAACACUCAGGAUGGAGGCUGCUCCAUCUAGGUCCCUGAGUGAUUGUGCUGCACAGAAACACCCUGCUGACUCCUGAUAGAUACGUAGUGAGAGCAAGAAAUAAAUGUUUGCUGUUUUGAGCCACUGAGAUUUGGAGCUGUUUUUAAAUCACAGCGUAGCCCAGCCCAACCUGACUGAUAUGUCUGUGAUCUCAUUUGACUCUCAUUAUGUCCCUGGGAUAGAGAAAAGGCUGAUCACACUGGGUGGUGUCGGGGAAAGAGCGUGUGAUGUGGAAUCAAAGGGACCUGGGUAAGAAGGCUUUUCCCAUCAUUGCUGGCUGUGCAGGCUUAUCCAAACAACCCAAUCUCUCUGAAAUCCUGUUUCUUUAUCUGUAACAUGAGAAUAAUAAAACUUACCUUGAAGAUCCCUGUGGAUCAGAGUCAAUGUAUGCCAAAGGUCCUGGUGUAGAACCCAUCACAGAAUAAGCAACUAAUACAAGAUAGUUGUUUUUUUAAAAUUAGUAUUUUAUUUAUUAUUUUUAUUUUAUUUUAAUUAUCACUCUGUCACUCAGGCUGGAGUGCAGUGGCGCCAUCUCGGCUCACUGCAACCUCUGCCUCCUAGGUUCAAGCAAUUUCCUGGCCUCAGCCUCCUGAGUAGCUGGGACUACAGGCAUGUGCCAUCACGCCUGGCUAAUUUUUGUAACUUUUGUAUUUUUAGUAGAAACGGGGUUUCACCAUGUUGGCCAGGCUGGUCUCUAACUCUUGACCUCCAGUGAUUCACCCACCUUGGCCUCCCAAAGUAAUCCAUGCUAGUAAUGGGAUUACUAGCAUGAGCCACCACAUCCAGCCAAAAAUUAGUAUUUUAAAAUCUCUUUUUGACAUUGUUUCCAUUGAACAUAUGGGAAUGCUGAGCCUAAAUCUGUUGCAGAGACCUGCCUAGGCAAAUUAAAUAACAGAGCCGGAAUACAAGUUUUGAUUUUCAGACUUUGUGUUCAGAGCUUUCUCCCCGGACUAAUAAGUAUUGCCUGAGUUCCACACCUGGAACUGUGCUAAGGAGGCUGGAGGGUCGGGGAGGCAAGUGUUAAGAAUGAAAACAUUGCUUCUCCAAGGAGUGCAAAGUCUACAUGGUGAGAUAAGCUAAAUAACAGAGUUAGUUCCAAAGAAGCAGCUGUUUUUUUUAAGGCACACAAUAUUCUGAUUUUCUAAACUUUGAAUGCAUAAAAGUGACCUGUGUAGCUUAUUCAAAUGCAGACUCCUUGGUCCCGCCCUAGAGUUUCCACUUUAAUACUAUCCUGUAUGAUUAGAGGAAGUAGAGCAGAGUGGGCUUUGGCACAAGGCUCCCUGGGUUCAAAUCCCUCCUCUGGCACCUACAAAUUAAUUACAUGAUCUUGGGGAAGUUAUCUAACCUCCCUGUGCCUCGGUUUCUUCAUCUGUGAGAUGGGGGUAACAUUACCGGUUGUCUUAUAUUACAGUGAAGAUUAAGUUAGGUAAUAUGGCUAAAAGACAUGGCACUUAGCAGACACUUAGUAAGUGCUACCCAUUAGUAUUCUGAUGCAGGAUUUCUAAAAACCAUGAGUCUGGGAACUUCCUAAAGGAAUGGCCCAGGACAACCCUUUUCUCUGGUGUCCCAAGUGAGUACCCUUUUAUGGGACUUCUUGAGACAAUGUCCUCAACCCUUGUGGUGCCUACGGGGGAAUUCCAAUCAUGGAAACUUUGAUUGUGGAGGCAUAGUUGAGACCAGCAGUACAUCAUGAUGACUCUUAAAUCAUAUGUAUGCUGCAGGCUUCUGCUCACCCAUGCAAAGGUUUGUCCCUGGUAGAAGACCUCCAUGAGCAAACUUCAUUUGGGAGCCAUCUCUGGCUGUCAGAUGGGCAGCAAUCCAGAGAGGUGCCUGGUUCUUGGUGCCCUGAGGCUGAGUCAGGCAGGAUCUGUCUCAGUGGAAACGUUUCACUUAUUGCUCUUGCCCUGUGCCAAAUGCCUCAUUUUGCCCCUUGUUAAUCAUCAGAUAUUAGCGUCCAUAAGAGUCAUAUUUACCAGGAGAGAGGUUUUCUUCUUCUUCUUUUUAAAUGUCUUUGAAUAAUUCAUGUCCAAUUUAGAAGGAUUAAAUAUGGUGUGUUCUCCCACUCCAGCAAGAGCUGGAGGUGAAAAUCUGGUUUCUCAGACUGCAGAGGCCAGGCUGCUGGGAACCCUCCCGGAUUCAGCCUCUCUUCACUGCUGAGAACUGUUCGACUCAAGGCCUGCUGGCCUAUUUUUCCCUGUUGUCUCACUUGCCUGUACUGGCUCUCCAGUUUUUCUAACUCUUCAAGACCCACUCCUGCCACCUUCUACAGAACCCUUAGCAAGCCAUCCUCCCACACCUGCAGAGACAGGGAGCCUAGGCCAUGGGAAGGCAGACUGGAUCUUCUUUGGGAAGUGCAGGGUCUGGAGCUGGGAGGGCUGCCCAUUCCCUGGGCGAGGAGACUGCUGCCACAUAUGUUCUGCUGUGGGCCCAGAAGGAGCUAAGGGACAAUGCAGAGCAGGCUCCUCUGACCAGUCUGCCUACCUGUGCUCAAAUUCUGGCUCUACAGCUCCUUGCAGGUGGUGACCUUAGCCAAUAACUUCAUUUCUCUAUUGCUUCAGCAUCCCGAUCCAUACAGGAGGAUUGAUAACAAGCCCUUCUCAUAGUGCUGUCCUGAGGAUAAAGGUGAAAACACAGGAAAUAUAGAAACAUAGCAACGUUGAAAACAUAAAUAGAAACCACUUAGAACAGGGUCUGUCUGACAUUUGAUAAUCUCUCAAUUAACAUUAGUGGUUAUUAUUAUGCAUCCCUUAGAUCAGAAUUUGAAGUUUAUAAUGAGGUAUAGGUUUUAUUGUAUUUUAUUUGUUCAAUUAAAAAUUAAUUUUAAUUACAAAGGAAUUCAUGAAUACAUUCUCCUUGUAAAAAAUUAAAACAUUACAGUGGAAACUAAAUAUCAUUUGACUACCUGCAUUGCCAAGCUCCCUAGCAGUUAUUCAUUUUCAGUUUGGUAUGCCGCUUUCUACAAUUUUUAAAAAGGCAUAUAUAUGUAUAUAUAUAUGUACUUGUAAAAAUCAUACAAUAUAUAAGUGUCUAUUAUAAAUGAUAUCACACAUGUAUGCAUUUUUUACUCAACAUUGUGUCUUAGAGAUUAUUUUAUUUUAGAACAUAGAGAUAUGCUGUAUUCAUUUUAACAGCUUUAUGCUAUUCCGCAUUAUAAGGAUACCACGUUUAAUUUAGCCAUUGUUUAAAAUUUCACCAAUACUGCCAUAAAUAUCCUUGUAGGUGUCUUAAUAUAUGAAUAUAUCUUAAAGGUUUCUCAAGGAUUUUCAUUUUGCUCAUUUUUUAAAGUGGUUGUACAACACAGCUUCCCCAUCCAUUUACACUACCAAAUUUAAUUUUGCCAAUCUAAGCAGUGUCAAAGAAUAUGCAAUUUUAUUGAUGUUUUAAUUUGAAUUUUCCUUAUUCCUUAAUCCUAAUAAAGUUAAGCCUCU